rnacentral:rRNA from 1 species
CCUACGGGCGGCAGCAGUGGGGAAUAUUGCACAAUGGGCGCAAGCCUGAUGCAGCCAUGCCGCGUGUGUGAAGAAGGCCUUCGGGUUGUAAAGCACUUUCAGCGGGGAGGAAGGCGUUAAGGUUAAUAACCUUGGCGAUUGACGUUACCCGCAGAAGAAGCACCGGCUAACUCCGUGCCAGCAGCCGCGGUAAUACGGAGGGUGCAAGCGUUAAUCGGAAUUACUGGGCGUAAAGCGCACGCAGGCGGUCUGUCAAGUCGGAUGUGAAAUCCCCGGGCUCAACCUGGGAACUGCAUUCGAAACUGGCAGGCUAGAGUCUUGUAGAGGGGGGUAGAAUUCCAGGUGUAGCGGUGAAAUGCGUAGAGAUCUGGAGGAAUACCGGUGGCGAAGGCGGCCCCCUGGACAAAGACUGACGCUCAGGUGCGAAAACGUGGGGAGCAAACAGGAUUAGAUACCCCAGUAGUC